GAUGAACGCUAGCGAUAGGCUUAACACAUGCAAGUCGAGGGGCAGCAAGACAAUAGCAAUAUUGUUGUUGGCGACCGGCGCACGGGUGAGUAACGCGUAUGCAACCUACCUACAACAAGGGGAUAGCCCGGCGAAAGUCGGAUUAAUACCGUAUAACACAGGGAUCCCGCAUGGGAAUAUUUGUUAAAGAUUUAUCGGUUGUAGAUGGGCAUGCGUAACAUUAGCUUGUUGGUGAGGUAACGGCUCACCAAGGCUACGAUGUUUAGGGGUUCUGAGAGGAAGGUUCCCCACAAUAGUACUGAGACACGGACCAGACUCCUACGGGAGGCAGCAGUGAGGAAUAUUGGUCAAUGGGCGAGAGCCUGAACCAGCCAAAUCGCGUGAAGGAUGAAGGUAUUCUGUAUUGUAAACUUCUUUUAUACGGGAAUAAAGUGCAUCACGUGUGAUGUUUUGUAUGUACCGUACGAAUAAGCACCGGCUAACUCCGUGCCAGCCGCCGCAGUAACAC
rnacentral:rRNA from 1 species